CCUACGGGUGGCAGCAGUGAGGAAUAUUCGUCAAUGGACGAGAGUCUGAACCAGCCACGCAGCGUGAAGGAUGACUGCCCUAUGGGUUGUAAACUUCUUUUAUAAAGGAAUAAAACGAGGCACGUGUGCCUUUUUGCAUGUACUUUAUGAAUAAGGAUCGGCUAACUCCGUGCCAGCAGCCGCGCUAAUACGUAGGAUCCGAGCGUUAUCCGGAUUUAUUGGGUUUAAAGGGAGCGUAGAUGGGUUGUUAAGUCAGUUGUGAAAGUUUGCGGCUCAACCGUAAAAUUGCAUUUGAUACUGGCAGUCUUGAGUACAGUUGAGGAAGGCGGAAUUCGUUGUGUAGCGGUGAAAUGCUUAGAUAUCACGAAGAACCCCGAUUGCGAAGGCGACUUUCUAAACUGUGACUGACAUUGAUGCUCGAAAGUGUGGGUAGCAAACAGGAUUAGAUACCCCUGUAGUC
rnacentral:rRNA from 1 species